rnacentral:rRNA from 1 species
AUUGAACGCUGGCGGCAGGCUUAACACAUGCAAGUCGGACGGUAGCAGGAGAAAGCUUGCUUUCUUGCUGACGAGUGGCGGACGGGUGAGUAAUGCUUGGGGAUCUGGCCUGUGGAGGGGGAUAACKACGGGAAACUGUCGCUAAUACCGCGUAAUAUCGAAAGAUUAAAGGGUGGGACUUUAUGGCCACYUGCCACGGGAUGAACCCAAGUGGGAUUAGGUAGUUGGUUGGGUAAAGGCUGACCAAGCCGAUGAUCUCUAGCUGGUCUGAGAGGAUGACCAGCCACACCGGGACUGAGACACGGCCCGGACUCCUACGGGAGGCAGCAGUGGGGAAUAUUGCGCAAUGGGGGCAACCCUGACGCAGCCAUGCCGCGUGAAUGAAGAAGGCCUUAGGGUUGUAAAGUUCUUUCGGUGAUGAGGAAGGUUGGUGUGUUAAUAGCACAUCAAAUUGACGUUAAUUACAGAAGAAGCACCGGCUAACUCCGUGC